rnacentral:rRNA from 1 species
AUUGAACGCUAGCGGGAUGCCUAACACAUGCAAGUCGAACGAGUGGCGGACGGGUGAGUAAUGUCUGGGAACGUGCCCAAUAGCGGGGGAUAACUACUCGAAAGGGUAGCUAAUACCGCAUACCAUCGGAUCUGCCCAUAUCGGAUUAGCUAGUUGGUGGGGUAACGGCUCACCUAGGCAACGAUCCCUAGCUGGUUUGAGAGGAUGACCAGCCACACUGGGACUGAGACACGGUCCAGACUCCUACGGGAGGCAGCAGUGGGGAAUAUUGCACAAUGGGGGAAACCCUGAUGCAGCCAUGCCGCGUGUAUGAUGAAGGCCUUCGGGUUGUAAAGUACUUUCGGCAGAGAAGCGGUAUCUGCAGAAUAAGCACCGGCUAACUACGUGCCAGCAGCCGCGGUAAUAC